rnacentral:rRNA from 1 species
AUUGAACGCUGGCGGCGUGCCUUACACAUGCAAGUCGAACGGUAACAGGUCUUCGGAUGCUGACGAGUGGCGAACGGGUGCGUAAUACAUCGGAACGUGCCUAGUAGUGGGGGAUAACUACUCGAAAGAGUGGCUAAUACCGCAUGAGAUCUACGGAUGAAAGCAGGGGAUCGCAAGACCUUGUGCUACUAGAGCGGCCGAUGGCAGAUUAGGUAGUUGGUGGGAUAAAAGCUUACCAAGCCGACGAUCUGUAGCUGGUCUGAGAGGACGAUCAGCCACACUGGGACUGAGACACGGCCCAGACUCCUACGGGAGGCAGCAGUGGGGAAUUUUGGACAAUGGGCGCAAGCCUGAUCCAGCAAUGCCGCGUGCAGGAUGAAGGCCUUCGGGUUGUAAACUGCUUUUGUACGGAACGAAAAGCCCCGGGUUAAUACCCUGGGGUCAUGACGGUACCGUAAGAAUAAGCACCGGCUAACUACGUGCCAGCCGCCGCCGUAA